UACGGAGGGUGCAAGCGUUAUCCGGAUUCACUGGGUUUAAAGGGUGCGUAGGAGGGCAGGUAAGUCAGUGGUGAAAUCUCCGGGCUUAACCCGGAAAUUGCCGUUGAUACUAUAUAUCUUGAAUGCUGUGGAGGUAAGCAGAAUAUGUCAUGUAGCGGUGAAAUGCUUAGAUAUGACAUAGAAUACCUAUUGCGAAGGCAGCUUACUACGCAGAUAUUGACGCUCAUGCACGAAAGCGUGGGGAUCAAACAGG
rnacentral:rRNA from 1 species